CAGCCGCCGCGGGAAUACGAAGGGGGCUAGCGUUGUUCGGAUUUACUGGGCGUAAAGCGCACGUAGGCGGACUUUUAAGUCAGGGGUGAAAUCCCGGGGCUCAACCCCGGAACUGCCUUUGAUACUGGAAGUCUUGAGUAUGGUAGAGGUGAGUGGAAUUCCGAGUGUAGAGGUGAAAUUCGUAGAUAUUCGGAGGAACACCAGUGGCGAAGGCGGCUCACUGGACCAUUACUGACGCUGAGGUGCGAAAGCGUGGGGAGCAAACAGGAUUAGAUACCCCGGUAGUCCCUGUCUCUUAUAC
rnacentral:rRNA from 1 species